rnacentral:rRNA from 1 species
GUCUACAGCCAUACCACCCUGAGCACGCCUGAUCUCGUCUGAUCUCGGAAGCUAAGCAGGUUCAGGCCUGGUUAGUACUUGGAUGGGAAAUGCUUCCAUACAGUUUGACAAAUUGUGUUUUCAUUAUUGUUGAUU